AUUUCCUGUUGCCUUCUGAUCAAGAUGUAGCCAGCACCAUGUCUGCCUGCAUGCUGCCAUGCUCCACAUCUUGAUGACAGUGGACCAAACUUCUGAACUAAGGAAGACGGGAAGAAAACCAGGCAAAUUAAGCCCCCAACGCACACUGUAAUUUUCUAUCUCUGGACGGAUUUGCGAGAGCAUGGCUGAGUGAAGUUAGCAGAGCAUCGCCCCCCACACAAAGAUGGCGCGAGCAGAAUUUGUGAAAGCGGGUAGGAAGAGGAAGGACCAGCAAGAGAGGACGAGCUGCAGUGCUGGGGAGCAGCUGGAGUCCAGAAAUGAUUUUUUUUCGACGAAUUUAGGAUUUUGCCGCAGUGUCCAUCUGCAGUCCCAGAAUCC